GUGUCAGCCGCCGCGGUAAUACGGAGGGUGCAAGCGUUGUCCGGAUUUAUUGGGUUUAAAGGGUGCGUAGGUGGGUAUUUAAGUCUGGUUUGAAAGCAGGUGGCUCAACCAUCUGAUGUGGCUGGAAACUGGAUAUCUUGAAUGGGUUGGCGGUAGCCGGAAUGGGUCAUGUAGCGGUGAAAUGCAUAGAUAUGACCCGGAACACCGAUUGCGAAGGCAGGCUACUACGACUUGAUUGACACUGAGGCACGAGAGCAUGGGUAGCGAACAGGAUUAGAUACCCGCGUAGUCC
rnacentral:rRNA from 1 species